rnacentral:rRNA from 1 species
AGAGUUUGAUCCUGGCUCAGAUUGAACGCUGGCGGCAUGCCUUACACAUGCAAGUCGAACGGCAGCACGGGAGCAAUCCUGGUGGCGAGUGGCGAACGGGUGAGUAAUAUAUCGGAACGUGCCCAGUAGUGGGGGAUAGCCCGGCGAAAGCCGGAUUAAUACCGCAUACGACCUGUGGGUGAAAGCGGGGGAUCGCAAGACCUCGCGCUAUUGGAGCGGCCGAUAUCAGAUUAGCUUGUUGGUGGGGUAAAAGCCCACCAAGGCGACGAUCUGUAGCUGGCCUGAGAGGACGACCAGCCACACUGGGACUGAGACACGGCCCAGACUCCUACGGGAGGCAGCAGUGGGGAAUUUUGGACAAUGGGCGCAAGCCUGAUCCAGCCAUGCCGCGUGUGGGAAGAAGGCCUUCGGGUU